UACGAAGGGGGCUAGCGUUGUUCGGAAUUACUGGGCGUAAAGCGCACGUAGGCGGGUUAUUAAGUCAGGGGUGAAAUCCCGGAGCUCAACUCCGGAACUGCCUUUGAUACUGGUAAUCUAGAGAUCGGAAGAGGUUAGUGGAAUUCCCAGUGUAGAGGUGAAAUUCGUAGAUAUCGGGAAGAACACCCGUGGCGAAGGCGGUUCUCUGGGACGGUACUGACGCUGAGACGCGAAAGCGUGGGGAGCGAACAGG
rnacentral:rRNA from 1 species